rnacentral:rRNA from 1 species
GAUGAACGCUGGCGGCGUGCCUAAUACAUGCAAGUCGAGCGAACAGAUGAGGAGCUUGCUCCUCUGACGUUAGCGGCGGACGGGUGAGUAACACGUGGAUAACCUACCUAUAAGACUGGGAUAACUUCGGGAAACCGGAGCUAAUACCGGAUAAUAUAUUGAACCGCAUGGUUCAAUAGUGAAAGACGGUUUUGCUGUCACUUAUAGAUGGAUCCGCGCCGCAUUAGCUAGUUGGUAAGGUAACGGCUUACCAAGGCAACGAUGCGUAGCCGGCCUGAGAGGGUGGUCCGCCAACAUGGGACUGGGGCAAGGGUCCAGCUCCUAAGGGGGGGCACCGGUGGGAAUCCUCCCGAAAUGGGGGAAGCCUGGACGGACCAACGCCGGUGAGUGGUGGAGGUCUUCCGAACCGAAAACCCCUGUAAUAGGGAAAGAACAAAUUUGAAAGUACUAAUCCCGUUUUGAACGUAACCUAAUAAGAAGGCACCGCCAAACUCCUG